rnacentral:rRNA from 1 species
UAAACGAUGUCGACUUGGAGGUUGUGGCUUCCGGAGCUAACGCGUUAAGUCGACCGCUGGGGAGUACGGCCGCAAGGUUAAACUCAAAUGAAUUGACGGGGGCCCGCACAAGCGGUGGGCAGUGGUUUAAUUCGAUGCAACGCGAAGAACUUACCUGGUCUUGACAUCCAGGUGCUGCAUGGCUGUCGUCAGCUCGUGUUGUGAAAUGUUGGGUUAAGUCCCGCAACGAGCGCAACCCUUAUCCUUUGUUGCAACUCAAAGGAGACUGCCAGUGAUAAACUGGAGGAAGGUGGGGAUGACGUCAAGUCAUCAUGGCCCUUACGACCAGGGCUACACACGUGCUACAAUGGCGCAUACAAAGAGAAGCGACCUCGCGAGAGCAAGCGGACCUCAUAAAGUGCGUCGUAGUCCGGAUUGGAGUCUGCAACUCGACUCCAUGAAGUCGGAAUCGCUAGUAAUCGUGGAUCAGAUGCCACGGUGAAUACGUUCCCGGGCCUUGUACACACCGCCCGUCACACCAUGGGAGUGGGUUGCAAAAGAAGUAGGUUACCACUUUGUGAUUCAUGACUGGGGUGAAGUCGUAACAAGGUAACGAA